AUACGUAGGGUGCGAGCGUUGUCCGGAAUUACUGGGCGUAAAGAGCUCGUAGGUGGUUUGCCGCGUCGUCUGUGAAAUUCCGGGGCUUAACUCCGGGCGUGCAGGCGAUACGGGCAUAACUUGAGUACUGUAGGGGAGACUGGAAUUCCUCGUGUAGCGGUGAAAUGCGCAGAUAUCAGGAGGAACACCGGUGGCGAAGGCGGGGCUCUGGGCAGUAACUGACGCUGAGGAGCGAAAGCGUGGGUAGCGAACAGGAUUAGAUACCCUGGUAGUCCAUGCCGUAAACGGUGGGCGCUAGGUGUAGGGGUCUUCCACGACUUCUGUGCCGUAGCUAACGCAUUAAGCGCCCCGCCUGGGGAGUACGGCCGCAAGGCUAAAACUUAAAUGAAUUGACGGGG
rnacentral:rRNA from 1 species